rnacentral:rRNA from 1 species
GAUACCCUGUUAUUUAAAUUGUAAAUUAUUAAAUUGAAGUAGUAUUAGUUAUGAUCUUAAAAUUUAAAAAAUUUGGCGGUAUUUUAGUCUUUUCAGAGGAACCUGUUUUAUAAUCGAUAAUCCACGUUGUACCUUACUUAAUUUUGUAUUUCAAUUUAUAUACCGUUGUUAUAAGAUUAUUUUAUAAGAAAAAUAAUUUUCAAUAAUUUUUAUAAAAAUUUAUAUCAAAUCAAGGUGUAGUUUAUGAUUAAGUAAAAAUGGGUUACAAUAAAUUUAUUUUUGGAUAUAAAUUUGAAAUUUUUAUUGAAAUUGGAUUUGAUAGUAAAAUUAUAAAGAUAAAUAAUUUGAUUAUAGCUCUAAAAUAUGCACAAAUCGCCCGUCACUCUCUG